UACGUAGGCAGCAAGCGUUGUUCGGAGUUACUGGGCGUAAAGGGUGCGUAGGCGGCUUUUUAAGUUUGGUGUGAAAUCUCCCGGCUCAACUGGGAGGGUGCGCCGAAUACUGAGAGGCUAGAGUGUGGGAGAGGAAAGUGGAAUUCCUGGUGUAGCGGUGAAAUGCGUAGAUAUCAGGAGGAACACCGGUGGCGAAGGCGGGUCUCUGGGCCGUAACUGACGCUGAGGAGCGAAAGCGUGGGGAGCGAUCCGG
rnacentral:rRNA from 1 species